GCACAAAAAUGUGUUUUGAACCUACUCUAACCAACUGUCAAAAGGUUGUGUUAAGUGAUUCUCUGACAAGGACGCAAUUGGAGAAACUGCUUAUUUUACCAAGGUUUUGACUGGAAUGAUGUGCUUUCUUUUAAGGAAUCAAACUUGACUUAUAGAGCCAAAAAUAUCUUCUUUGGAAAACUGGCCUCAUGCCUUGUCUACACAGUCCCUUUACACAGUUUGCGACCCAAGGAAAAUAAAGAAUGUCACUUUCUCACAGGCCCAGGAGCUUCAAAUUGUCUUGGGACCUCAAGAGGAGAGGAAUUUAGCCAAAUCAUGCAGACUAACCCUGCCUAUUCCAUGAACCAACCAGUGAUCUCUGGCUGCAGCUCAGAAGAAACUAGAGAGAUGGACCUUCAAGCUCCAAAUUAUCCUCAAUGAGGAUACCAUCUUCUAAAUACUCAGGAGUCACCCUUCUAUAGGAGACCACUAGGCUGCCCAUCAGUGGAACACAAAAAAGGCAACAUCCUAUUCAUGUUUCCCUUGGACCUAACUGGAUAGCAAUUUCACUAACCCACAGAGCCACUCUGCCCUGACAGUUAUCAAGAGGCCAAAGCCCACAGAACAACUUUCACCACCCCUCUGUCAGUAGGAAGCAGUUAUGGACGCCUGAUCUUUGUCCAUUUUCCCCAAGAACUGGGUCUUGGACUGUUGAGGGGGAAUGUUAGAGUAGGUAGUUAGUCACACAUGAGCAGGGCAUGAGAGUGGCUCUCCCCAGGAAUAUCAGGUGACCAUCAGGUGAUGGUCAAGCAGUUGUUAACCUGUCUCUCUAAAAUAAUAAUUGGUUGCAACGGGUGCCAGAGAAAGGCCGUCUCCCAGUACAAACAUGUGAAAUCGGUAAAGACAGGCUUACUGUCCAUCAAUACUGGAUUGCAGUCUUUUUUAAUCUUUUGUCUUAGGUUCAGGGUACAUGUGCAGGUUUGUAAAUUGCAUGUCAUGGGGGUUUGGUGUAGAGAUUAUUUUGUCACCCAGGUAGCAAUCACUUGAAUAGAGAGUCCCUUCCCCAGUGCUUGUUUUUAUUAAUUGUGAGAAAUCAGAUUAUUGUAGUUGUGCAGCAUUACUUCUGGGCUCUCUGUUCUGUUCCUUUGAUCCAUGUGUCUGUUUUUGUACAAGUGUCAGGCUGUUUUUGUUACUGUAGCUUUUCAAUAUAGUUUGAAGUUGGGUAAUGUAAUGCCUCCAUAUUUGUUCUGCCUUGGCUAUUAGAGUCUUUUUUGGUUCCUUGUAAAUUUUAACAGAGUGUUUUUUUCUAGUUCUGUGAAGAAUGUCAUUGAUAGUUUGGUGGGAAUAGCAUUAAGUCUGUAAAUUGCUUUGGGCAGUAUGGCCAUUUUAACAAUGUUAAUUCUUCUUAUCCAUGAGCAUGGAAUGGUUUUCCAUUUGUUUUUCUUGUCUCUGAUUUCCUUUGAGCAGUGUUUGUGAUUCUCGUGGUAGAGAUAUUUCCCCUUCGUGGUUAUCUGUAUUCCUAGGUAUGAUGCUCAUUUACCAUUCCAACAAUCCUAGGGCACACACACACGUACACACAGGUACACACAUAUACAUGGAGGCAUGCAGACACACACACAGGCACACACUUGCAUACACAUACACAGUAGCGCACACACACACAUAUACACACAGGCACACACACAUACACAUUACAGCAUCUAUUUUUGGCUAACAGUAAUAAAUGAGUCCAUAACACCCAACCUUUCCAGUUUCCAACCAGCUGAGGCCUUCAGAUCAUUUACAAUUAUUUUUUCCUUCAUUCCCAAGUACUUUUUCCACAUUGAUGCCACAGGCAUUUAUUGAGUGCCCCCCGUGUGCCUGACUUCUCAGCCUAGAAGUGACUAAAGUCAAUGCGCUGGUGUCUCAUGCAGGGGGUUAUGCAAGGCUGUGCCCUGCUCAGCAGCAGCAGAACCUCUGUGGGAGGUCUGAGAGGGAGGAACACUGCAGCCAGAUCCAAGACAUAUAUCAGCGAGAGCAGCCGGGUGCAGAAGCAGAAGGCUGAGAGCCACUCCCACGCAUGUGACCGGCUGGUUUCACCCACAGCACAGACCUUAUCUCACCAAGCUGGCAUUGCCUGUGGGCAAAGUUAGGACCACAGCAAGUGCACAUUGUCCCUCAAAUUUCAAAGAGGGAGUGGAUUAAUGACUCAAUCUGAGAGUCUGUGCUUGUGAGCUUCCCAGAAAACAAACUUGCAGGACAAAAGAACCCACAGGGCACACUGGACCUGCCUGUUGCUGCAAUGCCCCAGGUGGAAACACAGAGUGUUGAGGAGGUUUUUAUUUCACUUCCCACCUUUUUUACUGUAUGAACUUUAAGCACACAUGUAUUAAUUUUAUUUGUGUCAGCCAGGAAAUUAUGGGUCAUUCUGUUCUGUUCUCUUUAGCUCUGUUCUGUAGUUAACAACAGUAAUAAAAGGUGGACAUAACAUAUGUGAGACUUAUGCCUAACUUUUGCUUAAGUUUUCACAAUGGAUGAGAUGGACAGUUAUGUCAUUGAAAAGAAGCUGGUUCUGUCUGACAGCUGUUAUCUGGUGAUCUGUCAUGUCAUAGUUCUACCAAGACUGAGCACACUGGUCUCUGUCAUUUUUGGGGCAAUCCCUCCCAAGCAAUCCCAAAGCUGCUUUUACUUUACCGUCACCACAGUGCGCCACUUCAGGUUCCCUGCUGUGAACUGCAAAUGGGCUGUAAUGCAUUUGGUGAGAAGCAUGAAAUAAAUCAAACAAUUUUACUCCAAAUAGGGCUCCUUAGUAUAAUGGGUAUUUUAAUUUUAAAGCCCUCAGAGAUCAACAACCAAUGGAAGAGUCUAUUUCCCCUAUCCACAUAUAGCUAGAACCUGACCCAUGAAGGAGAGUAAAUGUUCUUGCUCCCCUCUUGUUAUCUCAUGACUCAGUACAGAAAAGAAGGUUAAGACUAUAACUAGGCCUUAACAGAACCUUUCCAAAAUAAUGACUGGCUCCAAGGAUCAGUAAAUUCCAAAGAGAACUAUUUACCAGUUAAUUACCGUUGCCUGAAACAGUCAUUCUCCCUAGUAAUCAUUUAUUUUCUCCCCAAAUAAUUGCUCCUUUCCAACCUAAAACAAGCUGUUUUACCAGAAUUCAGGCCCCCAUUUUUCUCUGUAACCUCCAGAUGGGAUACAGGCUUCUGCAGCUCAUUGGGAAGCUGACUCUUCAUCCUGAAGGCUCCCGUGUAUACACAAUAAAUUUGUGUGCCUGUUUCCCUAUUACUCAAUCUGCCUUACAUCACCUGAUUUUCAGUGAAA